rnacentral:misc_RNA from 1 species
AAAAAAAAAAAAAAAAAGGGAGCUCAGAUAACAUCUCCUUACCUAACAAGAAUGACAUUCCGUUUGUCAAUCGUAGCCGUCCCUGCAAGGGGCAUGUGAUUUUAACUGUCUCCGAUCUUGCCGUCCGUGCAUGCGCAGCUUCCAGUGUAUAGCUGGCCACCACCGGAAACCUCCUCACUUAUGUGUGUGGGGAUGAGAUUAGGAGGUCAGGGAUUGUAAAUUUUGCUGGAUGCGUGUUAGGUGCAGCUGGAUAAAUGCAUGUUACCGGGGAUCUAGGGUUUUCGAGCCUGGUCCCUCUGCUAUGUGUGGUGCUUCCGGUGAUCGCCUUUGUAAUUCGCCGGAAAUGGCGGCUUUCCGUUGCCAGGCAAGAGGAGAUCAAGCGGUUAUUGAUUUUGGCUUCGGAGGAGGCUGCUAGGGCCGAGCUUGAGGCUACAAUCAAUAACCGCUUGAUCGAAUAGUUAUCAGUGUGCUGUUUGUUAUUGUCCGACCACUACACGGUGUGCCCGGUGUAAAGCUGUGAGAUAUUGUUCUGGUAAGUGUCAAAUUAUUCACUGGCGGCAAGGUCACAAGGAAGAAUGCUGUCCUCCUAAUGCCACUUACUACGUUAAUGAUGAUGGAGGCAAUUCUUCUCGGAAUGUGGCCAAAGAAAAACAAUAUGAUAUUUAUGGUGGCAGAAAUGGACAUGCACGAAUUAAAACUUCCUCUGAGGGACAUGUACUAUAUAAAACCGGUGGCAAUCAAGGAGUUCCACAUGUUAAAGGUGAUGUUUUUGAAGUUGAUUCUUUUGCCAAUACAGAGGGAACCUCUUCUACUUCUGAAUCAUUGGGCA